rnacentral:rRNA from 1 species
CGAGGGGAGCAAGCGUUGUUCGGAUUUACUGGGCGUAAAGGGCGCGUAGGCGGCGCAACAAGUCACCUGUGAAAUCUCCGGGCUUAACCCGGAGCGGCCAAGUGAUACUGUCGUGCUAGAGUGCGGAAGGGGCUACUGGAAUUCUCGGUGUAGCGGUGAAAUGCGUAGAUAUCGAGAGGAACACCUGCGGCGAAGGCGGGUAGCUGGGCCGACACUGACGCUGAGGCGCGAAAGCCAGGGGAGCGAACGGGAUUAGAUACCCCGGUAGUCCUGGCCUUAAACGAUGGAUACUUGGUGUCCGGGGUUACAUAGUCCCCGGGUGCCGGCGCUAACGCAUUAAGUAUCCCGCCUGGGGAGUACGGUCGCAAGACUG